UACAGAGGUCUCAAGCGUUGUUCGGAUUCAUUGGGCGUAAAGAGUUCGUAGGCGGCGCGGAAAGUAGGGUGUGAAAGCCCUCGGCUCAACCGAGGAAUUGCGCUCUAAACUACCGUGCUCGAGGAAGCUAGAGGUGAGCGGAACUGAUGGUGGAGCGGUGAAAUGCGUUGAUAUCAUCAGGAACACCGGAGGCGAAGGCGGCUCACUGGGGCUUUUCUGACGCUGAGGCGCGAAAGCUAGGGGAGCAAACGGG
rnacentral:rRNA from 1 species